UUUUCACGAAGUGACGGAUAAGAGGAAAAUUUUCACUUUUUUCAAUUUUGAGUUUUUUGCAUUUUUGGACAUCUAUGACUUAUAUCUUGAACCUCAAAAAGUUUCAGAUCACAAUAAUGUCUAAUUACGUUGCUAUGACGACAUGACAUUCAAUAAAAUACCGGGUAAAAGGAUUUCUUGUUUUCACGAAGUGACGGAUAAGCAGCCGUCAUUACGUGAAAACAAACGAAUACGCUUUGCACUCAAGAGUUUUUUCACGAAGUGACGGAAGGCAAAUAUUUACAGUUUGGAACAGCCGAAGACCAUGAAAUAAUGCAGUAUAUACAAUAAGUGAUGUUUCAGAGAACAAAUGAGAGAAGUCCUGGAACUGGUACACUUGUUGCUGAUGGUCAGAUACAAUUCCAGGUUAGAUCCAGGGGCCGACACGCUUGUCAGAUGUGUCAUUGAUGAUUCCCUGAACAUCGCAGAUAUGAUCUGAUUUGGUGACAUGACAGUGGAAUUGGUAGUGACUGGAUUUUUAGUGUGCCCUGGUUUUGAACUAUUGAAGUAACCAAACUAGAAACAUCUUUUGAGAACUCUGACUGCAAUUCUAAUGAUGAAACUCUGUCUACACUUGUGAAAAUGUG